GGAUCACGCGGUCAAGAGAUGGAGACCAUCCUGGCCAACACGUUUAUGUCUUCAAAAGGUAUUCUGCAGUGAAGUGGAAGGAACCCUGAACUUUGGUUACAUACGAACCAGAAUCCAGAAUUAAAGCUGAUGAGCUUCAGCAAUACCCGAGGUAUGAAGUUCUGACUUGCAGGUUGGAGUGCAGCGAUCUCGGCUCAUUGCAACCUCUG